ensembl:snoRNA
UGUCCCCUUUAUUGCCCAUUUAAGACUGCUCAUGUCCUAAAUGAUUAACACAGGGGGGAAGAAGAAUUCUCUCAAAAACCUGAAGUAAAGGCUGAUCUUUCCUUGCUUCGGAUCCUGUCGGGAGAAACAAAC